GAGGGCAUAGCUCAGUGGUGGAGUAUGUGCUGAGCAUGCAUGAGGUCAUGGGUUCAAUCCCCAGUACCUCCA
rnacentral:tRNA from 1 species